AUUGAACGCUGGCGGCAGGCCUAACACAUGCAAGUCGAACGGUAACAGGAAGAAUCUUGCUUCUUUGCUGAGGAGUGGCGGACGGGUGAGUAAUGUCUGCGAAACUGCCUGAUGGAGGGGGAUAACUACUGGAAACGGUCGCUAAUACCGCAUAACUUCGCAAGACCAAAGAGGGGGACCUUCAGGCCUCUUGCCAUCGGAUGUGCCCAGAUGGGAUUAGCUAGUAGGUGGGGUAACGGCUCACCUAGGCGACGAUCCCGAGCUGGUCUGAGAGGAUGACCAGCCACACUGGAAGUGAGGCAUGGUCCAGACACCUACAGGAGGCCGCAGUGCGGAAUAUUGCACAAUGGGCGAAAGCCUGAUGCAGCCAAGCCGCGUGUAUGAAGAAGGCCUUCGGGUUGUAAAAUACUUUCAGCGGGGAGGAAGGAAGUAAAGUUAAUACCUUUGCUCAUUGACGGUACCCGCAGAAGAAGCACCGGCUAACUCCGUG
rnacentral:rRNA from 1 species